rnacentral:misc_RNA from 1 species
CUGCCCUCAAGCACGGCUUGUGUUUGGGCCUCGUCCCCCCGGGGACGGACCCGAAAGGCAGCGGCGGCACCGCGUCCGGUCCUCGAGCGUAUGGGGCUUUGUCACCCGCUCUGUAGGCCCGGCCGGCGCCUGUCGACACCCAAUCAAUCUUUUUUCCA